ACUGUUUGCCAUCAGCUACUUUGUACCACGACAGAUUUGAGAAGUGGGUAUCCUUUCUAUACCCAUGUUACAGAUGAAGAAACCAAGGCUCAGAGUGGGAAUAAGAGACUUGCCCCUGCGCACCCAAAAGGUAAGUGCUCUGAGCCAAGGGAAGAGCCUCAGGGGUGGAGCUUGAAGGAGGUUGGGGUAAGCUCCACGAUUCCGGGUAGAAAGACCUAUGGAUCUAGUUCCUUGGAGAUGCAGCUGGGGUCUGAGGAACUUUGGGGGCAGGCUGCAUGGGCUUCUCAGAGAAUGGUGAGGCAGGGAGGCCAACACAGGGGGGCGUCAUGCUCCCUUCCCAACGGGGUGUUUCCUUCAACGCUGGGUUAGGAAAAGUGGCCACAGAAGGGGCCUCCCAGCACGCAGGAAUCUGG
rnacentral:lncRNA from 12 species